CUUUUAAUGAGAGUUUGAUCCUGGCUCAGGACGAACGCUGGCGGCGUGCCUAAUACAUGCAAGUAGAACGCUGAUGUUUGGUGUUUACACUAGACUGAUGAGUUGCGAACGGGUGAGUAA
rnacentral:rRNA from 1 species